rnacentral:rRNA from 1 species
UACGAGGGGGCUAGCGUUGCUCGGAAUCACUGGGCGUAAAGCGCACGUAGGCGGAUUGCUAAGUCAGGGGUGAAAUCCUGGAGCUCAACUCCAGAACUGCCUUGAUACUGGCGAUCUUGAGUCCGGGAGAGGUGGAGUGGAACUGCGAGUGUAGAGGUGAAAUUCGUAGAUAUUCGCAAGAACACCAGUGGCGAAGGCGGACUCACUGGCCCGGUACUGGACGCUGAGGUGCGAAAGCGUGGGAGCAACAG